rnacentral:lncRNA from 1 species
AGCACAUCCUUUGUACUCAUUUAGAAACGUAACUCUGAAUUUCUCUGUCUCUGCAAAGGGGUAAUUCCUGGGUGUUCUUCAGUGGUGAGUGAAGGCAUUUUUGCACAUGCUAUCGGAUGAACUGAGUCUAGAAUUUUGGUGAGACAUAUUUGAUACCGAAAAAAGUGAACCCCAGGAGAGGGCUCCAAGCUUCAGCUCUUGUCUGAGACUGUCCUGCACUGUGGCUGUAUGAUUACCAUAGCCCUUGACUUCUGAAUGGCAAAUGGCACCUGAAAGAGAAAUCACUAAGUCACAGGGUCGGCUCCAUCCUACUCCUCUAUACUAUACAGAUAAAGCCACAAUGUAAGGUUCCAGGUGGCCACACUUAUUUGGAGACACCAUUUAACACGGUUCUGCUUCUACUUCCAUGAGAACCUAGUGAAGAAGACACAGCCAGAGCUUUGAUCAAAGAUUCCAAAUGCAAAUACAACUAACCACCCAACUGGUCCCAUCAGCCAAUGUAUCUCUUUGUUACCUCAAGGGAGAUUGAUUUACGCUUUCAUCAAUAAAUCUUCAUAUUUUCAA